CUUUGUAUUCUUCCACAGCUUUCUUGAACUGCUACUUCUUAGAUCGUUCCUUCUUGUUGGCGGUGAUGUUGCAUGUGGGCUGCAUACGGGUAUGUUGUUGCAGUUCAAUAAAGCUGUGGGAAGAUACGGACA
rnacentral:pre_miRNA from 1 species